GCCCCCUUGGUGGAAUGGUAGACACUGGAGACUUAAAAUCUUUUGCCUUCGAGCGUGCCGGUUCAAGUCCGGCAGGGGGCACCA
rnacentral:tRNA from 4 species